UACGGAGGGAGCUAGCGUUGUUCGGAUAUACUGGGCGUAAAGCGCACGUAGGCGGCGCCGUAAGUCAGGGGUGAAAUCCCGGAGCUCAACUCCGGAACUGCCCUUGAAACUGCAGUGCUAGAAUCUUGGAGAGGCGAGUGGAAUUCCGAGUGUAGAGGUGAAAUUCGUAGAUAUUCGGAAGAACACCAGUGGCGAAGGCGACUCGCUGGACAAGUAUUGACGCUGAGGUGCGAAAGCAUGGGGAGCGAACAGG
rnacentral:rRNA from 1 species